GAUGAACGCUAGCGGGAGGCCUAACACAUGCAAGCCGAGCGGUAGAGUCUCUUCGGAGACUUGAGAGCGGCGCACGGGUGCGGAACACGUGUGCAACCUGCCUUUAUCUGGGGGAUAGCCUUUCGUAGGGAAGAUUAAUACCCCAUAAUAUACUGGAUGGCAUCAUCUGGUAUUGAAAACUCCGGUGGAUAGAGAUGGGCACGCGCAAGAUUAGAUAGUUGGUGAGGUAACGGCUCACCAAGUCAGCGAUCUUUAGGGGGCCUGAGAGGGUGAUCCCCCACACUGGUACUGAGACACGGACCAGACUCCUACGGGAGGCAGCAGUGAGGAAUAUUGGACAAUGGGUGAGAGCCUGAUCCAGCCAUCCCGCGUGAAGGACGACGGCCCUAUGGGUUGUAAACUUCUUUUGUAUAGGGAUAAACCUAGGUACGUGUAUCUAGCUGAAGGUACUAUACGAAUAAGCACCGGCUAACUCCGUG
rnacentral:rRNA from 1 species